GGCCGCGCUUCAAAAAAAUAACCCUGGCCGAUCCAACACCGGGGUGUAUCAGGUUUUUUUUUAAUUAAAACUCCUUUUCGCGUUGGCGGCCUUCGGCCGCGCUUCAAAAAAAAUAACUCUGGCCGAUCCAACACCGGGGUGUAUCAGGUUUUUUUUAAGUAAAACUCCUUUUCGCGUUGGCGGCCUUCGGCCGCGCUUCAAAAAAAUAACCCUGGCCGAUCCAACACCGGGGUGUAUCAGGUUUUUUUUAAUUAAAACUCCUUUUCGCGUUGGCGGCCUUCGGCCGCGCUUCAAAAAAAUAACUCUGGCCGAUCCAACACCGGGGUGUAUCAGGUUUUUUUUAAGUAAAACUCCUUUUCGUGUUGGCGGCCUUCGGCCGCGCUUCAAAAAAAUAACCCUGGCCGAUCCAACACCGGGGUGUAUCAGGUUUUUUUUUAAGUAAAACUCCUUUUCGCGUUGGCGGCCUUCGGCCGCGCUUCAAAAAAAUAACCCUGGCCGAUCCAACACCGGGGUGUAUCAGGUUUUUUUUUAAUUAAAACUCCUUUUCGCGUUGGCGGCCUUCGGCCGCGCUUCAAAAAAAAUAACUCUGGCCGAUCCAACACCGGGGUGUAUCAGGUUUUUUUUAAGUAAAACUCCUUUUCGCGUUGGCGGCCUUCGGCCGCGCUUCAAAAAAAUAACCCUGGCCGAUCCAACACCGGGGUGUAUCAGGUUUUUUUUUAAUUAAAACUCCUUUUCGCGUUGGCGGCCUUCGGCCGCGCUUCAAAAAAAAUAACUCUGGCCGAUCCAACACCGGGGUGUAUCAGGUUUUUUUUUAAGUAAAACUCCUUUUCGCGUUGGCGGCCUUCGGCCGCGCUUCAAAAAAAUAACCCUGGCCGAUCCAACACCGGGGUGUAUCAGGUUUUUUUUUAAUUAAAACUCCUUUUCGCGUUGGCGGCCUUCGGCCGCGCUUCAAAAAAAAUAACUCUGGCCGAUCCAACACCGGGGUGUAUCAGGUUUUUUUUAAUUAAAACUCCUUUUCGCGUUGGCGGCCUUCGGCCGCGCUUCAAAAAAAUAACCCUGGCCGAUCCAACACAGGGGGGUGUCAAAAAUCUUGAUAUAUCAAGAAAAAGGGCAAUGAUUUAUGUAUUUGGGGUAUAGUCCUAUUUUUUAUUCAUUUUUAUUCGUUUGAUAAAUGUGUAAUUAUGGCAACACUUAUUAUUUGUCAACACGGAAUACUUUUGUUAUUGUGCAUGAAAUGAAAAUUGUGUAAAAUAUAAAAUGCUUAUUUUAAGCAAAUAACUAAAUAAUUACUGGAAAAAAAAUAUGUAGAAACAAUGUAAUGAAGUAUAAAUGCAUAAAAAAGGCAUAAUAUGAAUUAAAUAAUUACUAGCAAUCGAGAAAUUGCAAGAUAAAAUUAGCAACAUUUUCAACUUUAAAUGCAAAUAUCUCGGAAACUAUAAGUUUGCGGCAGCAACAAUUAUAUAUUUUCUUAAUCUGGAGCAUCAGCUCUAUCCAACCAUACCACUUUUAACCCUGAAAUCGUGGGAUCGUAUACUAAAGCCGACCCGAAAGGAUAUAGCGAAUAAGUAUUAUGAUCCCUUUGUUGAAAUCAUACCUAAAGGCCUACAACUUUUUUUUACAAUAGAAAAUUUACUUCAGAAGAUGAUAUUUGUUUCCUGCGUUUGAGUUUUUUUUUUUAAUUUUUAUUAUUUUCAACCGGUUGGAUAUGGUAACUUUUAUUAUUUGACAACACGGAACACUUAUGUUAUAAACAUGUAAUGAAAUUUGUGUAAAAAAUAAAAUGCUUAUUUUGAGCUAAUAUCGAAAUAAUUAAUAUAAAAUAAAUAUGUAGAAACAAUGUGGAUAAGUGUAAGAGUAGGGUCGGCUUUAGUAUACCAUCCCACGAUUUCAGGGUUAAAAGUGGCAUGGUUGGAUAGAGCUGCUGCUCCAGAUUAAGAAAAUAUAUAAUUGUUACCGCCGCAAACUUAUAGUUUUCGAGAUAUUUGCAUUUAAAGUUCAAAAUUUUGCAAAUUUUAUCUUGCAAUUUCUCGAUUUUUAGUAGUGAUGAGCGAUAUUUCACUACCGGUGAUUUUUUCACUGUGAUUGAAAAAUCGCAAAUCGCAACUGCGAUCUUCUUCUUCUUAAUUGGCGUAGACACCGCUUAUGCGAUUAUAGCCGAGUCAACAACAGCGCGCCAGUCGUUUCUUCUUUUCGCUACGUGGCGCCAAUUGGAUAUUCCAAGCGAGGCCAGGUCCUUCUCCACUUGGUCCUUCCACCGGAGUGGAGGUCUUCCUCUUCCUCUGCUUCCCGCGGCGGGUACUGCGUCGAAUACUUUCAGAGCUGGAGUGUUUUCGUCCAUCCGGACAACAUGACCUAGCCAGCGUAGCCGCUGUCUUUUAAUUCGCUGAACUAUGUCAAUGUCGUCGUAUAUCUCGUACAGCUCAUCGUUCCAUCGAAUGCGGUAUUCGCCGUGGCCAACGCGCAAAGGACCAUAAAUCUUUCGCAGAACUUUUCUCUCGAAAACUCGCAACGUCGACUCAUCUGUUGUUGACAUCGUCCAGGCCUCUGCACCAUAUAGCAGGACGGGAAUUAUGAGUGACUUAUAGAGUUUGGUUUUU